rnacentral:rRNA from 1 species
GACGAACGCUGGCGGCGUGCUUAACACAUGCAAGUCGAACGGAAAGGCCCUGCUUUUGUGGGGUGCUCAAGUGGCGAACGGGUGAGUAACACGUGAGUAACCUGCCCUUGACUUUGGGAUAACUUCAGGAAACUGGGGCUAAUACCGGAUAGGAGCUCCUGCUGCAUGGUGGGGGUUGGAAAGUUUCGGCGGUUGGGGAUGGACUCGCGGCUUAUCAGCUUGUUGGUGGGGUAGUGGCUUACCAAGGCUUUGACGGGUAGCCGGCCUGAGAGGGUGACCGGGCACAUUGGGACUGAGAGACGGACCAGACUCCUACGGGAGGCAGCAGUGGGGAAUAUUGCACAAUGGGCGGAAGCCUGAUGCAGCAACGCCGCGUGCGGGAUGACGGCCUUCGGGUUGUAAACCGCUUUCGCCUGUGACGAAGCGUGAGUGACGGUAAUGGGUAAAGAAGCACCGGCUAACUACGUG